AGGAGCAGGAUCUGCCCAAGAAUGACCUGUGGUGGUACGGAAGGCACGGACUCCGCAAGCGUCCCGCGCCCUCUGAGAAAGAAACUCCUCAACCAUCACAUUAUUCUCUCUACGGUGGUAUGUGGAAUUUGUUUUGCGGAGCCGGACACUAUCCUUGUGUUCAAAAUCUUCUAUGGAGUAUUCGGAGGAGGAACCCGCCUUGCAAUGCCAAAGACAAUCUGCGCGCCGGACUCAUCGUCAUUGAAGCCUAGUUCAGGGGCUACUGAGGGAGUCCUGGAUUAG
rnacentral:rRNA from 1 species